UCCGCCGGACUCGGAAUGGGGCGAGACUUUGUGAGGGGCCUCGGGGUGCCAAAAAUAAGCCGCGGGCAAAGCCGCGCCCAAAAAUAAGCGCCCGAAGGUCGCGGUGCCAAAACCCCCCAGUGGAAAAAUGGCCAAAAAACGGGUUGUGGACUAUAGCCUUGGUGGGGGGCGCGGGCGAAGUUCGUCCGCCGGACUCGGAAUGGGGCGAGACUUUGCGAGGGGCCUCGGGGUGACAAAAAUAAGCCGCGGGCAAAGCCGCUCCCAAAAAUAAGCGCCCGAAGGCCGUGGUGCCAAAACCCCCCAGCAGAAAAAAGGCCAAAAAACGGGUCGUGGGCUAUAGCCUUGGUGGGGGGCGCGGGCGAAGUUCGUCCGCCGGACUCAGAAUGGGGCGAGACUUUGCGAGGGGCCUCGGGGUGCCAAAAAUAAGCCGCGGGCAAAGCCGCGCCAAAAAAUAAGCGCCCGAAGGUCGUGGUGCCAAAACCCCCCAGCGGAAAAAUGGCCAAAAAACGGGUGGGCUAUAGCCUUGGUGGGGGGCGCGGGCGAAGUUCGUCCGCCGGACUCGGAAUGGGGCGAGACUUUGCGAGGGGCCUCGGGGUGCCAAAAAUAAGCUGCGGGCAAAGCCGCGCCCAAAAAUAAGCGCCCGAAGGUCGUGGUGCCAAAACACCCCAGCGGAAAAAUGGCCAAAAAACGGGUCGUGGGCUAUAGCCUUGGUGGGGGGCGCGGGCGAAUUUCGUCCGCCGGACUCGGAAUGGGGCGAGACUUUGCGAGGGGCCUCGGGGUGCCAAAAAUAAGCCGCGGGCAAGGCNNNNNNNNNNNNNNNNNNNNNNNNNNNNNNNNNNNNNNNNNNNNNNNNNNNNNNNNNNNNNNNNNNNNNNNNNNNNNNNNNNNNNNNNNNNNNNNNNNNNAAGCGCCCGAAGGUCGUGGUGCCAAAACACCCCAGCGGAAAAAUGGCCAAAAAACGUGUCGUGGGCUAUAGCCUUGGUGGGGGGCGCGGGCGAAGUUCGUCCACCGGACUCGGAAUGGGGCGAGACUUAGCGAGGGGCCUCGGGGUGCCAAAAAUAAGCCGCGGGCAAAGCCGCGCCCAAAAAUAAGCGCCCGAAGGUAGUGGUGCCAAAACCCCCCAGCGGAAAAAUGGCCAAAAAACGGGUCGUGGGCUAUAGCCUUGGUGGGGGGCGCGGGCGAAGUUUGUACGCCGGACUCGGAAUGGGGCGAGACUUUGCGAGGGUCCUCGGGGUGCCAAAAAUAAGCCGCGGGCAAACCCGCGCCCAAAAAUAAGCGCCCGAAGGUCGUGGUGCCAACACCCCCCAGCGGAAAAAUGGCCAAAAAACGGGUGGGCUAUAGCCUUGGUGGGGGGCGCGGGCGAAGUUUGUCCGCCGGACUCGGAAUGGGGCGAGACUUUGUGAGGGGCCUCGGGGUGCCAAAAAUAAGCCGCGGGCAAAGCCGCGCCCAAAAAUAAGCGCCCGAAGGUCGUGGUGCCAAAACCCCCCAGCGGAAAAAUGGCCAAAAAACGGGUCGUGGGCUAUAGCCUUGGUGGGGGGCGCGGGCGAAGUUCGUACGCCGGACUCGGAAUGGGGCGAGACUUUGCGAGGGGCCUCGGGGUGCCAAAAUAAGCCGCGGGCAAAGCCGCGCCCAAAAUAAGCGCCCGAUGUCGCGUGCCAAACCCCCAGCGGAAAAUGGUCAAAAAACGGGUUGUGGGCUAUAGCCUUGGUGGGGGGCGCGGGCGAAGUUCGUCCGCCAGACUCGGAAUGGGUCGAGACUUUGCGAGGGGCCUCGGGGUGCCAAAAAUAAGCCGCGGGCAAAGCCGCGCCCAAAAAUAAGCGCCCGAAGGCCGUGGUGCCAAAACCCCCCAGCGGAAAAAUGGCCAAAAAACGGGUCGUGGGCUAUAGCCUUGGUGGGGGGCGCGGGCGAAGUUCGUCCGCCGGACUCGGAAUGGGGUGAGACUUUGCGAGGGGCCUCGGGGUGCCAAAAAUAAGCCGUGGGCAAAGCCACGCCAAAAAAUAAGCGCCCGAAGGUCGCGGUGCCAAAACCCCCCAGUGGAAAAAUGGCCAAAAAACGGGUCGUGGGCUAUAGCCUUGGUGGGGGGCGCGGGCGAAGUUCGUCCGCCGGACUCGGAAUGGGGCGAGACUUUGCGAGGGGCCUCGGGGUGCCAAAAAUAAGCCGCGGGCAAAGCCGCGCCCAAAAAUAAGCGCCCGAAGGCCGUGGUGCCAAAACCCCCCAGCGGAAAAAUGGCCAAAAAACGGGUCGUGGGCUAUAGCCUUGGUGGGGGGCGCGGGCGAAGUUCGUCCGCCGGACUCGGAAUGGGACGAGACUUUGCGAGGGGCCUCGGGGUGCCAAAAAUAAGCCGCGGGCAAAGCCGCGCCCAAAAAUAAGCGUCCGAAGGUCGCGGUGCCAAAACCCCCCAGCGGAAAAAUGGCCAAAAAACGGGUUGUGGGCUAUAGCCUUGGUGGGGGGCGCGGGCGAAGUUCGUCCGCCGGUCUCGGAAUGGGGCGAGACUUUGCGAGGGGCCUCGGGGUGCCAAAAAUAAGCCGCGGACAAAGCCACGCCCAAAAAUAAGCGCCAGAAGGUCGUGGUGCCAAAACCCCCCAGCGGAAAAAUGGCCAAAAAACGGGUCGUGGGCUAUAGCCUUGGUGGGGGGCGCGGGCGAAGUUCGUCCGCCGGACUCGGAAUGGGGUGAGACUUUGCGAGGGGCCUCGGGGUGCCAAAAAUAAGCCGUGGACAAAGCCGCGCCAAAAAAUAAGCGCCCGAAGGUCGCGGUGCCAAAACCCCCCAGUGGAAAAAUGGCCAAAAAACGGGUCGUGGGCUAUAGCCUUGGUGGGGGGCGCGGGCGAAGUUCGUACGCCGGACUCGGAAUGGGGCGAGACUUUGCGAGGGGCCUCGGGGUGCCAAAAAUAAGCCGCGGGCAAAGCCGCGCCCAAAAAUCAGGGCCCGAAGGUCGCGGUGCCAAAACUCCCCAGUGGAAAAAUGGCCAAAAAACGGGUUGUGGGCUAUAGACUUGGUGGGGGGCGCGGGCGAAGUUCGUCCGCCGGACUCGGAAUGGGCGAGACUUUGCGAGGGGCCUCGGGGUGCCAAAAAUAAGCCGCGGGCAAAGCCGCGCCCAAAAAUAAGCGCCCGAAGGUCGUGGUGCCAAAACCCCCCAGCGGAAAAAUGGCCAAAAAACGGGUCGUGGGCUAUAGCCUUGGUGGGGGGCGCGGGCGAAGUUCGUACGCCGGACUCGGAAUGGGGCGAGACUUUGCGAGGGGCCUCGGGGUGCCAAAAAUAAGCCGCGGGCAAAGCCGCGCCCAAAAAUCAGGGCCCGAAGGUCGCGGUGCCAAAACUCCCCAGUGGAAAAAUGGCCAAAAAACGGGUUGUGGGCUAUAGACUUGGUGGGGGGCGCGGGCGAAGUUCGUCCGCCGGACUCGGAAUGGGCGAGACUUUGCGAGGGGCCUCGGGGUGCCAAAAAUAAGCCGCGGGCAAAGCCGCGCCCAAAAAUAAGCGCCCGAAGGUCGUGGUGCCAAAACCCCCCAGCGGAAAAAUGGCCAAAAAACGGGUCGUGGGCUAUAGCCUUGGUGGGGGGCGCGGGCGAAGUUCGUACGCCGGACUCGGAAUGGGGCGAGACUUUGCGAGGGGCCUCGGGGUGCCAAAAAUAAGCCGCGGGCAAAGCCGCGCCCAAAAAUAAGCGCCCGAAGGUCGCGGUGCCCAAACCCCCCAGCGGAAAAAUGGUCAAAAAACGGGUUGUGGGCAAUAGCCUUGGUGGGGGGCGCGGGCGAAGUUCGUCCGCCAGACUCGGAAUGGGUCGAGACUUUGCGAGGGGCCUCGGGGUGCCAAAAAUAAGCCGCGGGCAAAGCCGCGCCCAAAAAUAAGCGCCCGAAGGUCGUGGUGCCAAAACCCCCCAGCGGAAAAAUGGCCAAAAAACGGGUCGUGGGCUAUAGCCUUGGUGGGGGGCGCGGGCGAAGUUCGUACGCCGGACUCGGAAUGGGGCGAGACUUUGCGAGGGGCCUCGGGGUGCCAAAAAUAAGCCGCGGGCAAAGCCGCACCCAAAAAUCAGGGCCCGAAGGUCGCGGUGCCAAAACUCCCCAGUGGAAAAAUGGCCAAAAAACGGGUUGUGGGCUAUAGCCUUGGUGGGGGGCGCGGGCGAAGUUCGUCCGCCGGACUCGGAAUGGGCGAGACUUUGCGAGGUGCCUCGGGGUGACAAAAAUAAGCCGCGGGCAAAGCCGCGCCCAAAAAUAAGCGCCCGAAGGCCGUGGUGCCAAAACCCCCCAGCGGAAAAAUGGCCAAAAAACGGGUCGUGGGCUAUAGCCUUGGUGGGGGCCGCGGUCGAAGUUCGUCCGCCGGACUCGGAAUGGGACGAGACUU
rnacentral:lncRNA from 1 species